UGAGAAAGAAAAGCUUGCAGGGGCCUUUAUUGAAUUAACUCUGUAGUGUAACAUGAAGCACCAUAUGAAAAAAAAGUAUUGGUAGAUAAGGAAAUACGCCACCAAGUAGUGAUUAUCCUCCCUUCUGCUCACAUACUGGACCUGCUUGCUGAACUCUGCCAGCAUAUCCAUUUGCUAAUGAGGAAAAGAAGUAAAAACUAGAUAUUUCUUCCCCUCCUUUUUUUCCCUGUGAGAUUUAAUAAGAAAGAAGAAGCAGCUUGGAAUUUAAGCAAAGAUAUCGAAUGUUUCAUCGUACAUGGAACUGGACUCUGAUCAAAGACCUUGGCUUUCUGGGCUGUUUGGAUGAAAACUGCAAGCAGGGCUAUCCAUGCACUGUAUGAAGUGCUACAGGAGAUUUAAUUUCAUUCUUAGUUAAGAAGAGUACUUUCCUUGAUAGUAAACAAAACACUGUACAUGUUCUAAACAUGAAAGCAGCCUUUUUUCAAAACCAUACCCCAAAACCUUGCAUCCAUUGGUUUCUCUCAGCUGAAAUCAUAUUAGAUACAAUAAAUAAGACUUGGCUGUAAAAUAUAACAAUGUUUUAUUCUUAAAUGAAAUAAAAAUUGGUAAGGAUUGCUUUUGAUAAAAGCAAAAUAUUUACAUAUUGUAAAAUAAAAUAUACUUCUUUGUAUGUGGUCAUAUAACAGCAUAUAUUUAAAAAAUGCACUUCUUGAGAACAA